rnacentral:rRNA from 1 species
GACGAGGGACCUAGCGUUGUUCGGAAUCAUUGGGCGUAAAGCGGGUGUAGGUGGCUUGGUAAGUCGGGUGUGAAAGCCCAGGGCUCAACCCUGGAAGUGCAUUCGAUACUGCUGAGCUUGAGUGUUGGGAGAGGUCAUCGGAAUACCUGGUGUAGUGGUGAAAUACGUAGAUAUCAGGUGGAACACCGGAGGCGAAGGCGGGUGACUGGCCAAACACUGACACUGAGACCCGAAAGUGUGGGGAUCAAACAGG